rnacentral:rRNA from 1 species
AGAGUUUGAUCCUGGCUCAGGAUGAACGCUGGCGGCGUGCUUAACACAUGCAAGUCGAACGAUGAUCCCAGCUUGCUGGGGGAUUAGUGGCGAACGGGUGAGUAACACGUGAGUAACCUGCCCUUGACUCUGGGAUAAGCCUGGGAAACUGGGUCUAAUACCGGAUACGACCAUCUGGCGCAUGUCAUGGUGGUGGAAAGCUUUUGUGGUUUUGGAUGGACUCGCGGCCUAUCAGCUUGUUGGUGGGGUAAUGGCCUACCAAGGCGACGACGGGUAGCCGGCCUGAGAGGGUGACCGGCCACACUGGGACUGAGACACGGCCCAGACUCCUACGGGAGGCAGCAGUGGGGAAUAUUGCACAAUGGGCGAAAGCCUGAUGCAGAAACGCCGCGUGAGGGAUGACGGCCUUCGGGUUGUAAACCUCUUUCAGUAGGGAAGAAGCGAAAGUGACGGUACCUGCAGAAGAAGCGCCGGCUAACUACGUGCCAGCAGCCGCGGUAAUACGUAGGGCGCAAGCGUUAUCCGGAAUUAUUGGGCGUAAAGAGCUCGUAGGCGGUUUGUCGCGUCUGCUGUGAAAGACCGGGGCUCAACUCCGGUUCUGCAGUGGGUACGGCAGACUAGAGUGCAGUAGGGGAGACUGGAAUUCCUGGUGUAGCGGUGAAAUGCGCAGAUAUCAGGAGGAACACCGAUGGCGAAGGCAGGUCUCUGGGCUGUAACUGACGCUGAGGAGCGAAAGCAUGGGGAGCGAACAGGAUUAGAUACCCUGGUAGUCCAUGCCGUAAACGUUGGGCACUAGGUGUGGGGGACAUUCCACGUUUUCCGCGCCGUAGCUAACGCAUUAAGUGCCCCGCCUGGGGAGUACGGCCGCAAGGCUAAAACUCAAAGGAAUUGACGGGGGCCCGCACAAGCGGCGGAGCAUGCGGAUUAAUUCGAUGCAACGCGAAGAACCUUACCAAGGCUUGACAUGAACCGGAAAGACCUGGAAACAGGUGCCCCGCUUGCGGUCGGUU